CCCCGCCCCGCCGCCGCCCCCGGCUCGAAGCCACCUGGACGCGGAAGAUUCAAGCAAUUAUCUGUGUCAGAGAUGGCCAACGGCUCUCCAGGAUCCGGACGCCCCCUCCUUCCCUUUCAACUGCAGGACCCAGAGGAGCUGAAAAAUGCUCAGAGCUUCAGCAGAAUGACAUGGUGACUGAAAGGAGGCUAAGAGAAAAUGGCAAAGUUCAGAACCCAGCUCACAGAAGACACCCCAUAAAAAGUUAUUAAGAAAUCAGUGGAGAAGGUCCCAUCCCCAUCACUAUUUAUUGGGGUGAGAAGGCUGGAGAGCAACAACUACUCUAGCAAAACUACUUGCUGUUGCUGUCUCAAAAAAAUGAAAGUGAAGAAAUAAUGAGAAAAUGCUGAACUCUAAUAAAUCAUCUUCCCAUCUCCUUCCCACCCUGGAGUAGAGGGCCACCAAGCAAGGAGUCAAAGCUUCACCAGACUGCCAAAGGAAUCUAUAGCACAAAAGUCCAAGAACCUCUGCUCCAACAUCAUUGUCAUCACAGGUAAGAGCAAGAAAGAGGAAGAAGUGAAACCUGUGUUUGCAUUCUAAUGUUCUUGUCUGUGAAGAAAGCAGAGAUAUUGGAUAACUUUAAAUUUUCUUAAGAUGAGGAAACUUGAAGACCUGAGGAGAUGAAAAGACGUGUUUAAGGUAAAAUAUCUAGUUUUCUCAUUAAGUAACUGUUGAAUGAAGGGAUACCAUUACAUCAUCACCAGAUGUGUCAAGUAACGAUCGAUU